UACCUUACAAAAAUAAAUUUAAAAAUUAAAUCUGAAUUAAAUCAAUAAUAAUAACAACAAAAAACAAAUUAAAUAUUAUAUUAAUCAAUUAAUUUAUAACAAAAAAAAAUUACUUUUUCUUUUCUAUUUUUUUUCCUUCUCUUUCUCCUUCCCUCUCUCUUUUCUCCUCCUCUUUUUUUCUUUCUUUUUCCCUUCCUUUCCCGCCCUCUCCUUCUCUUUUUUCUUCUUCUUCUCUUUUUUUUUUCUUUUCCUUCUCUUUCUUCCCCUUCACUCACCUGGCAAAAAUGAACAUUGGGGACCAUUAUAAGGUCCCC
rnacentral:lncRNA from 1 species